UACGUAGGUGGCAAGCGUUGUCCGGACUUACUGGGCGUAAAGAGCGCGCAGGCGGUCGUUCAAGUCGCGUGUGAAAGCCCCCGGCUCAACUGGGGAGGGUCACGCGAUACUGAUCGACUCGAAGGCAGGAGAGGGAAGUGGAAUUCCCGGUGUAGCGGUGAAAUGCGCAGAUAUCGGGAGGAACACCAGUGGCGAAGGCGGCUCUCUGGGACGGUACUGACGCUGAGACGCGAAAGCGUGGGGAGCGAACAGG
rnacentral:rRNA from 1 species